ensembl:lncRNA
UCCCCUCCCACCUCUUUACACACAGGCACACACACCCGGGCUAACUCCUUCCCUCACACGCCUACUAUCCACUUUCGCCUGAGACCGCAGCCAGCGCAGGGCUCAGUUUUUUAUUUGAUUUUUUAUUUGCCUUGCUUGCUUUGGGUCUUUCCCUCUUGUACAGCGAGACCAUUUCGUCCCAUUUCACCCCUCUGCCCCUGAAAACAUAGGCCCUGGAUUGUCCCUGCAUCAGACUGCAUGCUACCAAUUGAUUUGUGCAUCUACUCCUCCCUAUUAUUUUAGCACUUUAUAUUAAAAAUUGCUCUCUAGCUUUAACGUAAAAUUCGGUUCAUUUUGAGUAAUUUCUUCACAUACCCAUUCUGGAAGAGAGGACGAAGAAAAGAAGAGAACGCUCACGGAAUGGACAGAUGAAAGGGGACAGCAGAAAAAAGAGUGAGAAAAUGGAGAGCAUGUUCUGUGGGAGAGCAAGAGAGACCUGACCUAUGCACCCGACAUUGCCAAUCCCAUUCCAUGUAGCCCAAGACCUGAAAAGAAUGCUGUGGUCUACUCUUGUCUUGAGUCCGUGGAAACUUCCCACUAAGGAGUAACAAUGGAAAGAAUUUCAGUCCAGCCUAAGUAAGGUAACAUCUCUGGCAAGUUUGGAGGUUUAGAGAUGAGCCAUUAUGAGGUGGAGCCAUUCACCAACCCAACACACAACACAAUUAUAUGGUAUCCAAACUAGUGGCAGAUUGACUCUUUCUUUCAGGGAUCGUCAUAAGUCACAGGUGAGGUCCUUGGGAACAAGGCUGCAUGCAAGUUCAUCAGAAUUUGGGUGAAUAAAAAAAACUAUUAGGUAGAAUGAUGUAAUCGGGAUCAAGAAGAUGUCAUUGGAUGAACAGCCAAGGAAACACAGAAAUAUCACCACCUAAAGCACCAGUUACCCUACUGGAAAUAUCACCACCUAAAGCACCAGUUACCCCUACUGGAAAUACCACCACCUAAAGCAUCAGUUACCUACUGGAAAUACCACCACCUAAAGCACCAGUUACAAUACUGGAAAUAUCACCACCUAAAGCACCAGUUACCCUAUUGGAAAUAUCACCACCUAAAGCACCAGUUACCCUACUGGAAAUAUCACCACCUAAAGCACCAGUUACCGUACUGGAAAUAUCACCACCUAAAGCAACAGUUACCGUACUGGAAAUAUCACCACCUAAAGCACCAGUUACCGUACUGGAAAUAUCACCACCUAAAGCACCAGUUAACCGACUGGAAAUAUCACAGCCUAAAGCACCAGUUACCGUACUGGAAAUAUUACCACCUAAAGCACCAGUUACC